rnacentral:rRNA from 1 species
CCUACGGGGGGCUGCAGUGGGGAAUAUUGGACAAUGGGGGCAACCCUGAUCCAGCCAUGCCGCGUGUGAAGAAGGCCCUCGGGUUGUAAAGCACUUUCAGUGAGGAAGAACGCCUGGUGGUUAAUACCCAUCAGGAAAGACAUCACUCACAGAAGAAGCACCGGCUAACUCCGUGCCAGCAGCCGCGGUAAUACGGAGGGUGCGAGCGUUAAUCGGAAUUACUGGGCGUAAAGCGCGCGUAGGUGGCUUGAUAAGCCGGUUGUGAAAGCCCCGGGCUCAACCUGGGAACGGCAUCCGGAACUGUCAAGCUAGAGUGCAGGAGAGGAAGGUAGAAUUCCCGGUGUAGCGGUGAAAUGCGUAGAGAUCGGGAGGAAUACCAGUGGCGAAGGCGGCCUUCUGGACUGACACUGACACUGAGGUGCGAAAGCGUGGGUAGCAAACAGGAUUAGAUACCCGAGUAGUC